GACGAACGCUGGCGGCGUGCUUAACACAUGCAAGUCGAACGGAAAGGCCCUGCUUUUGUGGGGUGCUCGAGUGGCGAACGGGUGAGUAACACGUGAGUAACCUGCCCUUGACUUUGGGAUAACUUCAGGAAACUGGGGCUAAUACCGGAUAGGAGCUCCUGCUGCAUGGUGGGGGUUGGAAAGUUUCGGCGGUUGGGGAUGGACUCGCGGCCUAUCAGCUUGUUGGUGGGGUAGUGGAUUACCAAGGCUUUGACGGGUAGCCGGCCUGAGAGGGUGACCGGCCACAUUGGGACUGAGAUACGGCCCAGCCUCCUACGGGAGGCAGGGGUGGGGAAUGUUGUACAGUGGGCGGGAGGCAGAUGCAGCCCCGCCGCGCGCGGGAAGACGGGCAUGGGGUUGUGAACCGCUUUCGCUUGUGACGAGGCGUGAGUGACGGUAACGGGUAAAGAAGCACCGGCUAACUACGUG
rnacentral:rRNA from 1 species